rnacentral:lncRNA from 1 species
AUUUUGUUUACAUGUUUGGUGUGAUGUUAAUAUUCUCAAUACAUUGUGCUUGUUUGUAUUGUGGCGAGUAGAAGAACCUGUGACUUAGGAUCCUGGUGACCAGCAGAUAGAAGUAGCUGAGCAGGAGCUCAUUGAAGGCAAGUUGUGCCCUUGACCACUUUUUACCCAAUAAUGUUCUUUAAUACCACUUAUUCAUGCAUAGGUUUAAUUUUGAUGGGACUCGAUAGGUCACCCUAGACUGUUUAUCUCUUUACCUUGUUAUCCCGGAAUCACAUGGGUAGUUUUGCUAUUGCUUUACAUGGUUUUGGGAUAAUCUUUCAUUAUAUCCAUGUUCCAGUUAUUUUGUUAUUCUAUUUAUGUUCAUGUCAAGAUCAUUAAUGUUAAUUGGAACAUGAAGCUUAACUUGAGAAACACGUGCCGCCACAAGGGUAGUAUGGAAUGCCCUUGGCUGACUAAUUAGGAAAGCUAGUGGAAGACUAUCUUACCCAAAAGGGGCAAGGGCAGUAGGGGAGUUGCAUGCAAGAAGGUUCUCGGG